GGCUUCACAGUGCAGUGGUUAGCACAUCUGCUUUGCAUGCAGAAGGUCCUGGGUUCCAGCCCCAAGUGGAGCCA
rnacentral:tRNA from 1 species